CCUACGGGUGGCAGCAGUGGGGAAUAUUGGACAAUGGGCGAAAGCCUGAUCCAGCCAUGCCGCGUGUGUGAAGAAGGCCUUCGGGUUGUAAAGCACUUUCAGUGGGGAAGAAAGCCUUGGGGCUAAUACCCUCGAGGAAGGACAUCACCCACAGAAGAAGCACCGGCUAACUCCGUGCCAGCAGCCGCGGUAAUACGGAGGGUGCGAGCGUUAAUCGGAAUUACUGGGCGUAAAGCGCGCGUAGGCGGUCUGAUAAGCCGGUUGUGAAAGCCCCGGGCUCAACCUGGGAACGGCAUCCGGAACUGUCAGGCUAGAGUGCAGGAGAGGAAGGUAGAAUUCCCGGUGUAGCGGUGAAAUGCGUAGAGAUCGGGAGGAAUACCAGUGGCGAAGGCGGCCUUCUGGACUGACACUGACGCUGAGGUGCGAAAGCGUGGGUAGCAAGCAGGAUUAGAUACCCGAGUAGUC
rnacentral:rRNA from 1 species